UGGGGAAUAUUGCACAAUGGGCGAAAGCCUGAUGCAGCGACGCCGCGUGCGGGAUGAAGGCCUUCGGGUUGUAAACCGCUUUUGAUUGGGGAGCAAGCGAGAGUGAGUGUACCUUUCGAAUAAGCACCGGCUAACUACGUGCCAGCAGCCGCGGUAAUACGUAGGGUGCAAGCGUUAUCCGGAAUUAUUGGGCGUAAAGAGCUCGUAGGCGGUUUGUCGCGUCUGGUGUGAAAGUCCAUCGCUUAACGGUGGAUCUGCGCCGGGUACGGGCAGGCUAGAGUGCGACAGGGGAGACUGGAAUUCCCGGUGUAACGGUGGAAUGUGUAGAUAUCGGGAAGAACACCAAUGGCGAAGGCAGGUCUCUGGGUCGUCACUGACGCUGAGGAGCGAAAGCGUGGGGAGCGAACAGGAUUAGAUACCCUGGUAGUCCACGCCGUAAACGGUGGAUGCUGGAUGUGGGGCCCCAUUCCACG
rnacentral:rRNA from 1 species